UCAAAUUUGAAAAUAUUUUUAAUAUUAUAUUUCUAGAUAUCAGACAAACUUUUAUCAUUGUGUUUGCAUUUUGUAUGACGUGUCAAAAGGCUAUAAACAUAUCUGAUCCUGAUAGAAAAUUAUUAGAGGCCAAAGAAGUUUAUUCUAAAAUAACUAACAUUUGUAAUAUUCUGAGCAGAAUCAUAAAGCGAGAUGACAAAUUAUUUAUGUCACAAAUCGCUGAAGUUUUAAAGGCAGAAGAUGUUAUGGAAGAUUUUAAAUUUGAUGAAAGCGAUUUAAGAAAA